AUUGCUUCUCAGCCUUUUAGCUAAGAUCAAGUGUGGUAUCUGUUCUCAAUGAAACUAUGAGCCAUGCUGUGUAGGGCCACCCAAA
ensembl:snRNA U2 U2 spliceosomal RNA